GGAGGUUUGACAGUUACUACUACCUCGGCCUCCCCGCCCCCACACCGGCCAGGCCAGGAGCGUCCGGAAGAGAGGCCGCAGCUGGGGGUGUUGGCCUGAGCUUCGCCCUUCUGCUAUUCGGCUGACCAAGCUUGAGCCCCUGUUGACAGAAGCCGCAACGACCCCAUCCGCUAGACGCGUUCCGCACCUGCACCGUACACGACUGCAUGUGAGCCACAAUUAGCCAGUUUUGAUGCUUCUGUUUUUAUUGACGCAGAUGCUUAUGAUGAAACAGUGAGAUCGUCAAAGAAAUCAUUAUCAUUCCCAUGGUAUCUUUUCCGAAAUAAAAGCUCAGAGGAGAAAAGGGACUCGCUCAGACAGCAUUUAACAGGGAUGGCCAAAGACAAUUCUGCUGACGUCCAUUCGUCACCUCGCCUUGUUCCCGAAUAGCCCAGCUGCAAAAGAAGACUCUCAGAUAAAGGAGAAGGAAAAAAAAAAAAAAAAAAGCUUCAAAGAGUAAUCAGAUAAGCUAAGCUGCAACGAAGGCUCUGAGACCAGACCAGCUGCCUGUAAGAAACAGAAAUCAGCCAUGCUGCCUCCAAGAGGUUUAGACCAACUGAGAUAACUGGAAAGGACACUCUCUAAUCUGUUGAGCUGCCUUCAGGCUGUGCAGUGGGCUCCAGGUUCCCAGCUGUCGUUAGCUGACACCCUUGCUGAUGUGGGCUUUGGUGAGGCAGCUGUCUGAGAGUAAUUUCUGCUCCUGUAAGUAACCCCUCACCCAUAUUCCUGUAAGUCACUCCAGUAAAACUCAGGGCUCGACGGGC
rnacentral:lncRNA from 1 species